CGAGCAGGCUGGGCAGCCGCGAGAAAUGGCGCAAGCCUUUUUUCGAGGAAAGUCCGGGCUCCAUAGGGCAGGACGCCGGGUAACUCCCGGUGGAGGCGACUCCCAGGAAAGUGCAACAGAAAUAAACCGCCAGGAUUAAUUCCUUGGCAAGGGUGGAAAGGCGAGGCAAGAGCUCACCGCUUUCCUGGCAACAGGAAAGGCUCUGCAAACCCCGUCCGGAGCAAGAUCAGAUUGAAGCGAUAGGCGGCCCGUCUCAA
rnacentral:RNase_P_RNA from 1 species